GACGAACGCUGGCGGCGUGCCUAAUACAUGCAAGUUGAGCGCUGAAGGUUGGUACUUGUACCGACUGGAUGAGCAGCGAACGGGUGAGUAACGCGUGGGGAAUCUGCCUUUGAGCGGGGGACAACAUUUGGAAACGAAUGCUAAUACCGCAUAAAAACUUUAAACACAAGUUUUAAGUUUGAAAGAUGCAAUUGCAUCACUCAAAGAUGAUCCCGCGUUGUAUUAGCUAGUUGGUGAGGUAAAGGCUCACCAAGGCGAUGAUACAUAGCCGACCUGAGAGGGUGAUCGGCCACAUUGGGACUGAGACACGGCCCAAACUCCUACGGGAGGCAGCAGUAGGGAAUCUUCGGCAAAGGACGAAAGUCUGACCGAGCAACGCCGCGUGAGUGAAGAAGGUGUUCGGAUCGUAAAACUCUGUUGGUAGAGAAGAACGUUGGUGAGAGUGGAAAGCUCAUCAAGUGACGGUAACUACCCAGAAAGGGACGGCUAACUACGU
rnacentral:rRNA from 1 species